AACGAACGCUGGCGGCAGGCCUAACACAUGCAAGUCGAGCGCCCCGCAAGGGGAGCGGCGGACGGGUGAGUAACGCGUGGGAACGUGCCUCUCGCUACGGAAUAGCCUCGGGAAACUGGGAGUAAUACCGUAUGUGUCCUUCGGGAGAAAGAUUUAUCGGCAAGCGAUCGGCCCGCGUUGGAUUAGGUAGUUGGUGGGGUAAUGGCCUACCAAGCCGACGAUCCAUAGCUGGUUUGAGAGGAUGAUCAGCCACACUGGGACUGAGACACGGCCCAGACUCCUACGGGAGGCAGCAGUGGGGAAUCUUAGACAAUGGGCGCAAGCCUGAUCUAGCCAUGCCGCGUGAGCGAUGAAGGCCUUAGGGUUGUAAAGCUCUUUCAGUGGGGAAGAUAAUGACUGUACCCACAGAAGAAGCCCCGGCUAACUCCGUGCCAGCAGCCGCCGCGG
rnacentral:rRNA from 1 species